rnacentral:rRNA from 1 species
GACGAACGCUGGCGGCGUGCCUAAUACAUGCAAGUUGAGCGCUGAAGGUUGGUACUUGUACCAACUGGAUGAGCAGCGAACGGGUGAGUAACGCGUGGGGAAUCUGCCUUUGAGCGGGGGACAACAUUUGGAAACGAAUGCUAAUACCGCAUAAAAACUUUAAACACAAGUUUUAAGUUUGAAAGAUGCAAUUGCAUCACUCAAAGAUGAUCCCGCGUUCUAUUAGCUAGUUGGUGAGGUAAAGGCUCACCAAGGCGGUGGUACAUAGCCGACCUGAGAGGGUGAUCCGCCCCAAUGGGACUGCGAAAAGGCUCAAAAUUCUAAGGGAGGCCGCAAGAGGGAAUUUGCGGACAUGGGCGAAAAUCUUACCGAGCAAAGCCGGGUGAGUGAAGAAGGUUUUCGGAUCGGAAAACUCUGUUGGUAGAGAAGAACGUUGGUGAGAGUGAAAAGCUCAUCAAGUGACGGUAACGACCCAGAAAGGGACGGCUAACUACGUG